rnacentral:misc_RNA from 1 species
CCGAGUUUUGAACUCUCUGAGUUCAACUCCCACCCUUUGUUUAUACACUGUCUUCUUCGGCAAGACGUCAUGAGGCGUUUUACGCCACAAGCCACUGGCAUGUCUGACAUGCGAGUGAGUGCUUGCCGAAGGCUUUUAACUCUAUACUUUGAAGUCUGAGUCUAAACAAAAUAAGUUA